AACGCACAUUGCGCCCCCUGGCAUUCCGGGGGGCACACCUGUUCGAGCGCCAUUUCAACCCUCAAGCCCCGCUUGGUGAUGGGUCCCGCCCGCGCGGCGGGCCCGAAACUCGUGGGCGUCGUCGUUCGGCUCCAAGCGUAGCAAAACCCUCGCUUGGUCGGUCGGACGGCGGCCGCCCGGAACGAAUUUUCUAAAGGUUGGCCUCGGAUCAGGUGGGGAUACCCGCUGAACUUAA
rnacentral:misc_RNA from 1 species